rnacentral:rRNA from 1 species
GAUGAACGCUGGCGGCGUGCCUAAUACAUGCAAGUCGAGCGAACGGACGAGAAGCUUGCUUCUCUGAUGUUAGCGGCGGACGGGUGAGUAACACGUGGAUAACCUACCUAUAAGACUGGGAUAACUUCGGGAAACCGGAGCUAAUACCGGAUGAUAUUUUGAACCGCAUGGUUCAAAAGUGAAAGACGGUCUUGCUGUCACUUAUAGAUGGAUCCGCGCUGCAUUAGCUAGUUGGUAAGGUAACGGCUUACCAAGGCAACGAUGCAUAGCCGACCUGAGAGGGUGAUCGGCCACACUGGAACUGAGACACGGUCCAGACUCCUACGGGAGGCAGCAGUAGGGAAUCUUCCGCAAUGGGCGAAAGCCUGACGGAGCAACGCCGCGUGAGUGAUGAAUGUCUUCGGAUCGUAAAACUCUGUUAUUAGGGAAGAACAUAUGUGUAAGUAACUGUGCACAUCUUGACGGUACCUAAUCAGAAAGCCACGGCUAACUACGUG